UUAAUAUCUUAUUGGACUUAUGUCAAUUUAAGAUUCAUAAGACAAAUUAUAAAUAGAGAGUCGGGGUCAUAAGCCAAGUAUGUUCCACUGACACCCUAUUCACACCUUAUUUACUCCUCAUUGAUAGUCAUAAACAUUCAAUUAAAAACCAAGGUUCUUCCAUCACACGCCUAACUUGAGCGUUGGAGUGUCAUUGCAGGUAUCUCCCCCUCGG
rnacentral:lncRNA from 1 species